UGUGCCCGGCGGGAAUUGAACCCACGUUGCUGGUUCAUAAGGCCAGAGUAUUACCACUAUACGACGGGCAC
rnacentral:tRNA from 1 species